rnacentral:rRNA from 1 species
AACGAACGCUGGCGGCGCGCCUAAUACAUGCAAGUCGAACGAGAAGCUGUAGCAAUACAGUUGUACAGUGGCGAACGGGUGAGGAAUACAUGGGUGACCUACCCUCGAGUGGGGAAGUAACCAGCCGAAAGGUUAGGCUAAUACCGCGUACGCUUCCCACGUCUACGGGUUGGGAAGGAAAGACGAUGCCGUGGGUAGUCGCGCUCAAGGUUGGG